rnacentral:misc_RNA from 1 species
GAUGAAGAACGUAGCGAAAUGCGAUACUUGGUGUGAAUUGCAGAAUCCCGUGAACCAUCGAGUCUUUGAACGCAAGUUGCGCCCGAAGCCACUAGGCCGAGGGCACGCCUGCCUGGGCGUCACACGCCGUUGCCCCCCCAUCUACUCCUUCGGGAUUGCGGGGGGGCGGAUGAUGGCCUCCCGUGCGCCUAGCCGCGCGGUUGGCAUAAAUACCAAGUCCUCGGCGACGCACGCCACGACGAUCGGUGGUUGCGAAACCUCGGUUGCCCGUCGUGUGCGUUCGUCGCGCAUCGAGGGCUCGAAAAAAUGCUCGGCUCCGGCUGGGCUUUCAACGCGACCCCAGGUCAGGCGGGGUUACCCGCUGAAUUUAAGCAUAUCAAUAAGCGGAGGA